AGCUGCGCAGAACGCAUCAAGGAGUGAGGUAGACGUUUCUUUCACAGCUGAGAAAAAAAUUCUGAUAAUGUCGGACGAAGAGGUGCAAGAAGCAGGCAGCUAAACAGAUGUGUUUCGAAAGUAUGUUAGAUUAUUAGAAGAGGAUUUGCAGUUGAGAAACCCAAAGACAAUGUUGCAUCAAAAUUUGAUAGAAUCAGUCAUUUCACCAGGAACUGCACAUUAUCACUUUUGAGUUCCACUCAAUAAAUAUAUUGAGCUGAAGCUGAAUAAGCCCCAACCAGCAGCUCAAGAUUGACAUGAAGUCAUCUGUUCUGUCACUUGAGGAAGAGGCUGUGUCAGCUCUGAAUGUAGCUACUCUCAUCUGGAGAUCUGAACUCAUUGAAAGAUAUCUUCCUCAUAGCUAUGAGCUUGUCAGAUGUUGAAAGAAUUCCUGUUAAGUGAUCCUCAUGAAUUGAUCACCUCACACUGUGGUACCUGCUGUCGUGAAUAUUCAGGCUACAUUCACACUGAUUUACAGUGAAUCACUGACUAACCUGUGGAUUCUUUGUUCCUUGUUUCAUGAAGUCUUUGUCUCAAUAAGUGCUGAACUGCCAGAUAAUAUAUUCACUCAUCUCAGCACAGUCACAGAAACUGGAAAUUAUAACCAAUA